GACAUGCGGCAAAGCGCCACGGGUCGGAGUCGAUCCCGGGCCGACCGCGUCGAGGACUAAAGGCCUCCAAAUAUGGUUUGCGCUAACCGCUCCGCCACAGGCACGCUAAUUAAUAUGCCCAUCAUCUAGAAAGGAAAAUGAAUCUAAUGCAGACGAAUCUGAGGUUCUUUCUGAAGACUCAAAUACGCGGCACCAUCUGGACCUCAUGAUGUUACAGUCUGUUGCAGACAGUCCAACUCUUCCUCAGUUGACAGCCGCUGCUCAUACAAUACAAGGUGCCUGGAAAAGAUGCUGCAACGGCGACUAGUUCAAACAAUAUGCUUGGCGUAUUACUAAAGCCAAGACUCCUCCUCCUACUUGUAAACAUUAUUCUCUACCAGACACGGCAGCAUCUGUUUUCACAUCGUUGUCAGGAUUCUGCAAUUGGAGAAAGGCAAUGUAGAAAGAAGCAGGGAGUACAUGAAAAGCCUAGGGGUCAUGUCAAUGCCAUGUUUCCAUGGAGGGUACACAAAAAGGGUGGUGCCUCUAAUUCCUCUAUUUGUGAUCCCAGUAAUACAGGAAAAAGUUCCAGGGAAUCAGAUGUUCUCUUCUCCAAAGGUUGCUUCAGAUUCAAGAGGAAAUUUAAGGAGAUCAGCUGAGGGAGUUGCAAAAGCUUAGUGACACCAAAUGGGCACGUAGACAUUGGAACAUUUAGAUAUACUUGACACUAGCACACAGUGUAAAAUAGCUACUGAAAAAAACAGAAAAGAGAUCUCAAAAGGUAUCUUCCAGCCUUGGUGGGCUAUCCACAUCUAAAAUAGGCAAAAACACAAGCAAAGCUGGAAUAAAGGAUACUUUUAGGGUAAGAACCUUCUACCCCAUUGGAGACAUAAUAAUCAGAGACAUGUACAGAUGUUUCUCUAAAGGUAGCUGUGAAAUCAUUAGAG